rnacentral:lncRNA from 1 species
UUCAUUUGUACGAAGCAUGAUGAAACGUUGCCGAGGUUUAUGACACACAAGUGUUGGUGUUCUCUCAUAACUAAAUGAAACUAGAGAUUGCUUGGAUGACCAGAAACACCCCACCCAUCUGACUUGUCGUGUUAAAGCUUAAUUAAUGUGUAUGUUAUAUAAAGAUUGACAUGCAGUAACUGCUGUCAUUUAUGCUGGAUAAUUUGUUAUGUAGAAUAAGAAUAAUUAUUAAUUAACUGGUACACUGGUCGAUUAGGGAUAACUGUGACCACCUGUGGUGUAGUUAUACUUGUUCAUUAUGAUAUUGAAUAAACAUUAGUAGCUUAAAAAAUUACUAAUCAUAUAGAAGAAGUUUUCCUACAUUCUAUGAGAUGGUUCUUUGUUGGUUUUCGGGUUUAAUUUAGGGUUGAUAGUGGCAUAGUGCUUGUUAAACUUGGGAUGUUGCUUUGUUACAUAAGGGUGGUAUCCAAAUAGUGUGGCACCAUGCUAGAGUUGAACCUGGACUAAGUUCUACAAGCACACACAAGAGAUUGGAGUGGGACAAGUACUCUUGGCACACACAAACUAUAGAAAGGGCAUCCUUGUCGCUUUUGGAUGCUACUCAAGAACUUUAUUCAUAAUAUGUAUCUAUAUAUAUAUAUAUUUAAGAGGCUAGGGGGGUAUUUAUAAGCUUUCAAUUGAGGUAGUUGUCUUUUGGGGAUCAGGACUCUUAAGUUUGUCUUUGAAAUUCUAAGUCAGUCAAGAUUAGCUUUGAUAGUUUGAAAUCUGGUUAAAACCAACUUAAAAUUGUUUCAGAAUGCUCCAAAAACUGAAAAAUAUGAUCAACAAAAGGCAAAAAAAAUUUGAAAUGAUUUAGGCUACAAAAGGACCAAUAUGCAUUAUCCGAUUUUCUGAGACUGAUGAUGCAGAUUUGCGUUAUUUGAUUCUCUGAGACUGAUGAUGCAGUUCAUGUUGUUAUAUGAAUAUCUAGUUUGAGGUUUGACAAUACGAUUCGUGUUGUCGGACCCCUUGAGCUUGAUAACCCGCCUCGUAUUGCUAGGCCAGGCGUGUUGUAGCUGGAAAAUCUUCUAAGCCCUUGGGUGACAGACUGAUUUGAUUUUGACCUAUAUUUUGCUCAUCUAAUUCAGGUUUUUCUAGGUUUAUAUAUCUUUGUCUGCUGGUUUGGAUUAGGUUGGAUUGGCUGUCGAUUACAAGCUAUGGUGGACUAGCCAGUAUGGUUCCUAAGGUUUAGGCUUACAGGUUUCUCGGAAUUUCCUUAGCCAAAAUAUAAAUGGGUUUUCUACCACAUGGAUGUCAUUAGGCUGUAUUGUUGAGGAUACCCCGUAUCACGGCAUAUGCGGAUGUAUAAUGCACUAUGCAGCCCGAAACGCAUUGCAUAGGGGCACAUAUGCGCUUUGGUGGGAUGCGUCGGCAUAUGCGCCAUACCCCAUUGCGUAUGCUGCACAUCGCAAAUUUCAUAUGUGCUGCAUGGUUC